GUAGUUAGCCGGGGCUUCCUCCUGAAGUACCGUCACUUCCUUCUUCCUUCAGGACAGAGGUUUACAAUCCGAAAACCUUCUUCCCUCACGCGGCGUUGCUGGGUCAGGGUUUCCCCCAUUGCCCAAUAUUCCCCACUGCUGCCUCCCGCAGGAGUCUGGGCCGUGUCUCAGUCCCAGUGUGGCCGUCCAUCCUCUCAGACCGGCUACCCAUCGCUGACUUGGUGGGCCGUUACCUCACCAACUAUCUAAUGGGACGCGAGCCCCUCCCUUACCGGAUUCCUCCUUUGACCUCUCUGCCAUGCGGCAAUGUGGUCUUAUGCGGUAUUAGCAACGGUUUCCCGUUGUUAUCCCCCUGUAUGGGUCAGGUUGCUCACGCGUUACUCACCCGUUCGCCACUAAAACAUAUCUUCCAUAAACCGAAAUCUAUCUCCAAUACGUUCCCGUUCGACUUGCAUGUGUUAAGCACGCCGCCAGCGUUCGUCCUGAGCCAUAUACUAACAACCUCUACGUACUAGACGGCGGUCGUCGACGACGGCGACUAG
rnacentral:rRNA from 1 species